UACGGAGGAUCCAAGCGUUAUCCGGAUUUAUUGGGUUUAAAGGGUGCGUAGGCGGGUUUGUAAGUCAGUGGUGAAAGACUGUCGCUUAACGAUAGCAUUGCCAUUGAUACUGCAAGUCUUGAGUACACUUGAGGUAGGCGGAAUGUGUAGUGUAGCGGUGAAAUGCUUAGAUAUUACACAGAACACCAAUUGCGAAGGCAGCUUACUAAAUUGUUACUGACGCUGAGGCACGAAAGCGUGGGGAUCAAACAGG
rnacentral:rRNA from 1 species